CUCGAAAGGGGUGCUAAUACCGGAUAAGCCCACGGGUUYUUCGGAAUCUGCGGGAAGAGGAGGCCUCUAUUUAUAAGCUUCCGUAUCAUGAUGGGUCCGCGUACCAUUAGCUAGUUGGUGGGGUAAUGGCCUACCAAGGCGACGAUGGUUAGCUGGUCUGAGAGGAUGAUCAGCCACACUGGAACUGAGACACGGUCCAGACUCCUACGGGAGGCAGCAGUGGGGAAUUUUGCGCAAUGGGGGAAACCCUGACGCAGCAACGCCGCGUGAGUGAUGAAGGCUUUCGGGUCGUAAAGCUCUGUCAGAGGGGAAGAAAUGAGAUUGGCUAAUAUCCAAUUUUCUUGACGGUACCCUCAAAGGAAGCACCGGCUAACUCCGUGCCAGCAGCCGCGGKAAUACA
rnacentral:rRNA from 1 species